rnacentral:rRNA from 1 species
UACAGAGGGUGCAAGCGUUGCUCGGAAUUAUUGGGCGUAAAGGGUAGGUAGGUGGUCUUAUUUGUCUGAGGUGAAAGCCUUGAGCUUAACUCAAGAAGUGCCUCAGAAACGGUAGGACUCGAGUCCUGGAGAGGGUCGUGGAAUUCCCGGUGUAGCGGUGAAAUGCGUAGAGAUCGGGGGGAACACCAGAGGCGAAAGCGGCGACCUGGACAGGUACUGACACUCAACUACGAAAGCGUGGGGAGCAAACAGG